rnacentral:rRNA from 1 species
GACAGAGGAUGCAAGCGUUAUCCGGAAUGAUUGGGCGUAAAGCGUCUGUAGGUGGCUUUUAAGUCCGCCGUCAAAUCCCAGGGGCUCAACCCCUGGACAGGCGGUGGAAACUACCAAGCUGGAGUACGGUAGGGGGCAGAGGGGAAUUUCCGGUGGGAGCGGUGAAAUGCGUAGAGAUCGGAAAGAACACCAACGGCGAAAGCACUCUGCUGGGGCCGACACUGACACUGAGAGACGAAAGCUAGGGGAGCGAAUGGG